UUAUAGAAAAUGUGGAAAGUAUUGAAAAAUACAAAGAGAAGGAAUAAAAUUCUCACACUCCAGAUAGUCUUUGUUGAUGUACAGUGUAUGUACUUUCAUUUUUUUACCUAUGCUUUUAAAAAAUACCUUAUAUGAAUAUAUACACACAUUCACAAUAACCAGGUUUUGAAUACCUAGAAGGAGUUAGAACCCAACAAGAUGACCCCUGUGUCAUAGAACAUGGUUUCUGUUUGCUGAAACUGACACCCUAGAUUAACUAUAGGAUAGGACUUUAAUGAAGGAUUUAUUGAUUGUUCCACCUACAGAUGAAUCUAUAGAGCUUUACAUACAGAAUCUUAUUCUUCUCUUUCUCUCUCUCUCCCCCCUUCCUCCCUCUCCACCCCCUCUUUACUGUCUACUCUGGUUUCCUAGGAACUCUAGCCAAGAACCACGGCCUACACUCUCCAACACAAUCCAGAGGCCACAACUAGGUCCCACAGCUAAUUUACCCCUGGAGAUGGGCUCAGGACAGCUGGCACCCAGGCAGCAGCAACAGCAAACAGAAUUGGACAUGGUACCAGGA
rnacentral:lncRNA from 10 species